GGCGAACGGGUGAGUAAUGUAUCGGAACGUACCUUUCAGUGGGGGAUAACGUAGCGAAAGUUACGCUAAUACCGCAUAUUCUGUGAGCAGGAAAGCAGGGGAUCGCAAGACCUUGCGCUGAUUGAGCGGCCGAUAUCAGAUUAGCUAGUUGGUGAGGUAAGGGCUCACCAAGGCGACGAUCUGUAGCGGGUCUGAGAGGAUGAUCCGCCACACUGGAACUGAGACACGGUCCAGACUCCUACGGGAGGCAGCAGUGGGGAAUUUUGGACAAUAGGCGCAAGCCUGAUCCAGCCAUGCCGCGUGAGUGAAGAAGGCCUUCGGGUUGUAGAGCUCUUUCAGCCGGGAAGAAAACGCAUGGGAUAAUACCCUGUGUGGAUGACGGUACCGGAAUAAGAAGCACCGGCUAACUACGUGCCAGCAGCCGCGGUAAUACGUAGGGUGCGAGCGUUAAUCGGAAUUACUGGGCGUAAAGCGUGCGCAGGCGGUUUGUUAAGAUAGGCGUGAAAUCCCCGGGCUCAACCUGGGAACUGCGUUUAUGACUGGCAAGCUAGAGUAUGGCAGAGGGGGGUGGAAUUCCACGUGUAGCAGUGAGAUGCGUAGAGAUGUGGAGGAACACCGAUGGCGAAGGCAGCCCCCUGGGCCAAUACUGACGCUCAUGCACGAAAGCGUGGGUAGCAAACAGGAUUAGAUACCCUGGUAGUCCACGCCCUAAACGAUGUCAACUAGGUGUUGGGAGGGUAAAACCUUUUAGUACCGGAGCUAGCGCGUGAAGUUGACCGCCUGGGGAGUACGGCCGCAAGGUUAAAACUCAAAGGAAUUGACGGGGACCCGCACAAGCAGUGGAUGAUGUGGAUUAAUUCGAUGCAACGCGAAAAACCUUACCUACCCUUGACAUGUCCGGAAGCCCUUAGAGAUUUGGGUGUGCUCGAAGGAGAGCCGGAACACAGGUGCUGCAUGGCUGUCGUCAGCUCGUGUCGUGAGAUGUUGGGUUAAGUCCCGCAACGAGCGCAACCCUUGUCGUUAAUUGCCAUCAUUUAGUUGGGCACUUUAACGAGACUGCCGGUGACAAACCGGAGGAAGGUGGGGAUGACGUCAAGUCCUCAUGGCCCUUAUGGGUAGGGCUUCACACGUCAUACAAUGGUCGGUACAAAGGGUCGCCAACCCGCGAGGGGGAGCCAAUCCCAGAAAGCCGAUCGUAGUCCGGAUCGUAGGCUGCAACUCGCCUGCGUGAAGUCGGAAUCGCUAGUAAUCGUGGAUCAGCAUGUCACGGUGAAUACGUUCCCGGGUCUUGUACACACCGCCCGUCACACCAUGGGAGCGGGUUCCGCCAGAAGUAGGUAGCCUAACCGCAAGGAGGGCGCUUACCACGGCGGGGUUCGUGACUGGGGUGAAGUCGUAACAAGGUA
rnacentral:rRNA from 1 species